rnacentral:lncRNA from 1 species
CAAAGUGACUGGUAGUUUUCACCGCUAACGCUGAGGAGAAUAGACUUGUUCCCAUUCUGUGUGUGCAAAGUUUAGGCAUAGAAAAAAAAUGAAAGUUUUGUAUUUGAAACAUGGUGUCAUGAACUAAUGGAGACAAGCAAAGCAUUCAACUCCAUAGUAACCUUUUAUACAGUAUCUUCUAAGGGACAUACUAAGCUUUAAUAGUCUUUUUACCCUUGUGAGAGUUAAUCCUAUUCUCUCUGAGUGUUUUUAUUCACUAACCAUUACAGCUGCUAAUGAUUAAUCAUAGACCUAUACCUUUGUUCUGACCUCCUCUGUAACAUUCCUGACUUCAUUCUUUUGUCUGGAAGAACCGGAUAGGCAAGGAAGGAGGAGUGGUGCCAUGAGCCAGCAGUGUGUGCCCAGAUGGCCAAGAAGGCCAGGACAUCUGGAUUGUAUCAGAAAUAACGUUGCCAGCAGGAGCAGGGAAGUGACUGUCUCUCUGUACUCAGCUCUGAUGAGGCUGUACUUCAAGUACUUCAGUGGCAAGAAUAACUACUGGAAUAAUAGUCAUAGCCAGUAUCUACUACCUACAGGAAAUACAUCAACGUUAUUGAAGAAGCUGAUAUAGCACCACAAAGAGGUUGGGACUCACACUGGGAAUUUUGGCUCUGUGAAGCAGUGUGCCAAAUCAUCUUUUCAGCAAUACUUACCAGCACCCCCAGCCAUGGGUAAAGUAAGUAUGUUUUCCACACAAUUAUCAAAGAAAUAGUUUAAUGACUAGGAGAGUGCCCCAGAACAGGAUUCAUAAACACAGGAUACAGAACUGCUAAAGAAAUUAGAAGAAGUUGUAGAAAGAAAGAAAUUGGCUUAAGGCCCUCUUCCUUGUGAGAUAGAGAUGCCUACAUCCAAGCUGGUUAUGCACACUUUUGUCCACUCAUAAAUUAUUUUCUGGGUCUAGGAUUUGAAGGCAUUGAAAUCAGGUCACUUCAGUCCUAUUUCUUUUUCUUUUUCUUUUUUCCUUUUUUAAAAUAUUUAUUUAUUUAUUUUUAGUUUUAAAGGAUUAAAGUACCCAUAGGGCACAUCGAAUUUUGGUAUUUCUUUCUCCAUUUGCUCUCCCAACUUUGCUAUCAAACUAUAGAAUAUGAUAUGAUGUACUAUUAUUAGUCUUUGGUGAGUAUGUCACUCUUACUCACAUAAAUCCUUUAAAUAUUUAUUCCAGGCCAGUGCUCAAACUUACUCUGUACUAAUUCGUGCGUACGGUCUCUAGCCCAAGGUCAGUGCAAAGUGAAUGUGUUGAUUCUCAGGUGGUCAGGGAUAUCUUCUCCUGUGAGUUUGUAUCAUGUGAUUAGAGCAUAUGCCCUAGAUCAUAACCCCACCGCGAAGGAAGAAUAAAGGUGUUUGUGUGUUCCACUGCAUUUUAAAAAGUAAACAGACAGAGAACUGAACUGUUUGUUGCUAUCAAGAAUUAAGUAACAGACUGCCAUAGGGAUUUUGCUGACAGAAAAGAGGGUCUUUAAGUGACUCCCGUGAGGCAAUUUUGCAAUUAAGUGCCUGAAGAGGCAGCUGUUGACCGAAAAGCGUGCUCCUGAUUCUUGAUUUUUAAUUUUUUUUUCUUUUGGUCGAAAAUCCUCUUCUAAAUUCAGUAUUUAAAACAUGAGAUAAAGGCUGCACCUCUCCUGCCUCUGUUCUGAUGAGGAGCCAGAUUGCUGCAGGUGCACACAGGCAUUACACCAGAAGCAAUCUCCAGAUUCCCUUCCAGAGGACAGACGCAAGAGAAAAGGGUCUGGAGAUGUGUGCAGAGAAGUGAUUCGUGGUCCUCAUUACUGGAGAUGUAGUGUGCUCUCUCUCCAGUGGCUAGUUUGAAGCACUGACUGGAAGAACAAAAGGUGUCCUGUUAUUAAUGAAACCAGCCAUGGCUUUUUGGAGUGUUUAGUGAUACUAGUAGUAGUGUGCCAAGCCCCUCUCACAUGAGAACAAACAUCGUUUUAACAGCUUGUGUAUACUUAUUUUCAAAAUGAGACAAUAUAUCUGUGAUCUCUGAUUCCUUGAGAGAACUCACUUGGGAAACUGAUCCAUAAGGUAGCAUUUAGUCGCUUAUUCCCAUGUCACAGGCUUAAGCCUAGGAAUUCAAAUGCAGAAUUUAGUAAAACCAAAUAAAUACAAGUGCUGACUUGAAAACUUUUUCUCUUCCCUAGCAGAAAAUGGAAACCUAAAUCCUAGACUGGCAUAGAAAAAAAUGAAAGGAAAGUCUCUGUGAUAUGGAACAAGAAUCUAAUGUUUGGCAGCGCAAUUCCUGAGGUAGUAAGAUUAUUUUUUUGCCAGUCUUAUGAAAAUUUCUCCUAAUUUGAACAAGAUGUAAGAUUUUUAAAUACUAUGAAUUUAAGUAUGCACAAAUUGUUUGAAUGCACCGUUUCUGUUCACUGAAGUUGCUCUGGAUUCAGCCUAUUCCUAGUUACCUUCUGAGUUAUGGCCCUGUCCUGAAUGUAUGGGCACAUUGCAACCUGUUUUGGAGCAUAUUCCUGUGUCCACCAUUGCUCUUGCCUUUUCGGAAGUGAUGUCGUUCUUGUUUCUGUAACUGACUUCAUGUAUAAGGUCUGGCUCUCAGGAAGAAAUGGAGAAAACAACUUUAACUGAAUGGAUGCAGAGAAGAUGGGAAGGGAUAGGUAAGAAAAUUAUAAGGGAAAGGAGAAGCAGCAGCAGAAUGGGAAAAAAAAAAAAAAAAAAAAAAAAACAGAAGAGCCGAGGGAGAGGAAUAAGGAAAAUCUAAAAAACAAGAUGAGAAUACCUCAAAAGCACUCUCCUUUGGAGGCUGAGCAGCUCUUUGAUCACACGGCUGGAUAUUGCUGCCAUACUACCAAAUGCAUUAUUCUAUCCCUCUCAGCAUGGUGACCCACACAGAAGAUAACAACCUUUUGCAGACACUUGCUAAUCUUUUCUUUUAAGUGUUUGAGUGCACUGUGUUGCCUAUCUGAAUCCCUGCUUGAUCCUGUGAAGAGAAGGUUCAUGAGACAUGGUCCUACAGGAAAACCUUUUAAAUAAUAUAUACACAGCCUUCUACAAGAAACCUAAUUUAUGUCAUUGUUUAACUUUUGAGAUAAUCUGCUUUGCAAUUUUAAUGUUGUUACCAGAGGAUUUUGGUCAGAAUAUACAUGUAUCUAUGCAGCUAUCUGCAAUCUCUUUGAAGGUAGCCUUUGCUUUUUUUCCAAACAGCUGAAUUUUAGACCCAUCUGAAAGACAAGCUAACAGUGUCUUUUUUUUUUUGUUUUGUUUUGCUUUCUUUCCCCUUUUUUUUUCCCCCCCAGCAAAGUACCUUGAAAAGAGAUGAUCUUUACUGGCUUAUUUUGUGAUUGAACUAUUAUUCUUUGCCUAUAUGCCUGGUUACUUUCUGAAGCAUAUAGUUCUAAUAAACAUAGCCUUCCAAAAUCAUAAUUUUUCUACUGUGCUGCUUUCAACUUCUUGAGCGAAUGCACAAGCAGCAGGCUUGCUGAACUGGUUAGAUGCAUGUUUUCAGGGCAUGUGACACUGAAGAGAGAAAAUUGUGUUUAAUUUCACCUUAUGAAAGUCUAUUGUAAAAACUGGAAUACAAUCAAGUGACAAUUAGAAAAGCAACUGGCUAAAUUUCUUUCAUUAAAAACGCAAUAAAGAAGUAUCACA